UAUGGCACAAAAUGGCACUUUGCAGGUGUCAAUGUCAGUCACUGGUCAUUUCUUUUGGUCAUGGGUCACUGGUCAUUUCUUAACAUAACACCUCUCAAAUUUUUGCAAUACUGAAUUGGGCUAGGCCCAAUGGAGGGAAGGGCACGUUUCGCUUGCACCUGGUGAGCCCAUCCCCUAACGACAGCAACGACCUCCGACUGAAGUUGCCGGGAAGAACCAUCCGCCGGCCGCUAGUGCUCCUUGUUGCAGCUCCUCACUCUCAUCCCAUGGCCGAGCUGAUAAAUUUGACCCAUUCUCCUGUUUGUGAUUUCCAUGAGCAGUAAUGAGCGCAGCUGGUUCUGCUUGCAACAAGACACAGUUGCCUUCAGUUCAGUUCAGUUCUCUUGUUUUUACUCAUUGCUCCAAAAGAACAAGUUCAACUUCAAAGAUGAGAGAUGAUCCUCUAUCCUGUUGCUUUUACUGUUGCACCAUUCAUGAAUCGUUUCUCGAAUUUCUCAACCCUUUCCUUCUGGAACUCCAAUAUAAGACAAGCUGUGAACCAAGGCCAUGCACAAAAAGCCCUUCUUCUUUUCCGCCAAAUGAAGCAAACUGGGGUUACACCCAAUGGUUCUACCUUUCCCUUCGUUGCAAAAGCCUGUGCCAGAAUCUCCCGUCUCAGGAACUCCAAAAUGAUCCAUGCCCAUGUUGCCAAAUCUUGCUUUCAGUCCAAUGUUUUUGUGCAAACCGCGAUGGUUGAUAUGUACAUUAAAUGUGGUCAUUUGGAAGAUGCACACCAUGUGUUUGUUGGAAUGCCCACUAGGGAUAUUGCUUCUUGGAAUGCAAUGCUUGCAGGUUUUUCUCAGAGGAAUCUUGUUGACAGGUUUUUCUGUCUACUGCGUGAGAUGAGGCAUACUGGGAUUCAUCCUGAUUCCGUCACUGUCUUGCUCCUGAUUCAAUCUGUUUUGGAUUUGAAAAACCCAAAUUUUGUGAAUGCAGUGCAUUGUUUUGCGAUUCGAAUUGGAGUUCAUAUUGAUGUUUCUGUCGCUAACACUUUGAUUGCUGUGUAUGCUAAAUGUGGUGACUUGUGUUCAUCAGAGAUAGUAUUUGAUGAAAUUGACAGUAGUAUUAGGUCUGUUGUCUCAUGGAAUUCUAUGAUUGCAGCAUAUGCAAAUUUUGAAAAGUAUGACAAGGCUGUUGAUUGUUAUAAAGGGAUGCUUGAUUGUGGACUUUUGCCGGACAUUAGUACAAUCCUCAAUUUGCUUUCAUCAUGUGUGCAACCCAAAGCACUAUUUCAAGGUCUGCUGAUUCAUUCUCAUGGAAUUCAGUUAGGUUGUGAUGCUGAUGUGUGUGUGGUGAAUACUCUUAUUUCUAUGUAUUCCAAGUGUGGGGAUGUCCAUUCUGCAAGAUUAUUGUUUGAUGGCAUGUCUGUCAGAACUUGUGUUUCAUGGACUGUAAUGAUUAGUGGGUAUGCGGAGAAAGGAUAUAUGGAUGUGGCAUUAAACUUGUUUAAUACAAUGGAAGCAUCAGGCGAAAAUCCAGAUUUGGUUACUGUGCUUGCUUUGAUUUCAGGUUGUGGUCAAACAGGAUCUCUUGAACUUGGGAAAUGGAUUGAUAAUUACUCUAUUAACAAAGGGUUGAAAGAAAAUAUUGUAGUUUGUAAUGCACUAAUUGACAUGUAUGCAAAGUGUGGAAGUUUUAGCAAUGCUAAGGAGCUUUUCUAUUCUAUGGCUAACAAAACUAUCGUCACCUGGACAAUCAUGAUUACAGCUUGUGCUUUGAGUGGAGAUGUUAAGGAUGCUUUGGACCUGUUUCUUGUGAUGGUGCAGAUGAGAAUGAAACCAAACCACAUAACAUUUCUUGCUGUUCUCCAAGCUUGUGCUCAUGGAGGUUUACUUGAAAGAGGAUUGGAGUGCUUCAGCAUGAUGACACAAAAGUAUGGUAUAAGGCCUGGUAUAGACCACUAUUCAUGUAUGGUUGAUCUUCUUGGUCGUAAAGGACAACUGAGAGAAGCUUUAGAAAUUAUUGAAUGUAUGCCAUUUGAACCUGAUGCUGGUAUAUGGAGUGCAUUGCUGUCUGCAUGCAAACUGCAUGCUAAGAUGGAGAUGGCCAAAUAUGUUUCAGAGAGGCUAUUUCAGUUGGAGCCCCAUGUGGCAGUUCCAUAUGUGGAGUUGGCUAACAUAUAUGCAUCAGCUGGGAUGUGGGAUGGAGUUGCAGCUAUAAGAAGAAAGAUGAAAUAUCUUCAAGUGAGAAAAUGUCCUGGACAAAGCAUUAUCCAACAAUAUGGCUUUGAUAUCCGGGCGAUCAACACGAUAAUCAGAUUCUUCAGUGCCAAGAAAUCCCAACAUGACAUCCACAAAGUCCUUGACCUUGUCUUCUUUCCUAUCUGAUUGCAUGUGCUCAUUAAUAACUUUCUCAAAAAAGUUAUCAAAUAUUUUCCCCGUUGCCUUCAUGCCCUUAGUUAAUCCUUGAAGGUUAAGUGCACCAACAUACGGAAUAUAGUCACCUAUGUUUGGAACGGCGGCUAAACGCAAUGACUCUUGCAUCACAGCUUUGAACCCUUUUUUAUCCAUGUCCUGAUCCAUGUAUUUCUUUCCCAGAACCAUUCUACAACUCAUGUUAGCACUCAGUGUUGCAACCUUGGCACUAACAUCAACGGCAACACCAUCAUUGGCUGCAUCUCUCAGAAGCUUGAUAAACGAGUCAAUCUCCUCUUGCCUCAUGCUUCUGAAAGAGUUGAUCUUUGUUUGGCUUAGUAGUUCCAAGGUGCACAUCUUACGCAUGUUGCGCCAAUAAGGACCGUAUUCACCAAAGACAAUGUCCCUCUGCCCCCAAAAGAUGUACUUUGCAGCUUCACUGGGUGGUCUACUUGCAAAGACAUGGUCAUGGAUCUUAAGGAACAAUUCAGCAGCUUGCGGUGAAGAAACAACUAUGGUGGGCACAAAACCUAGGCGCAAGUGCAUGAUAGAUCCAUAUUUUUGUGCUAGCCGGUGAAGAUCACGAUGAGGAUGUCCCCCCAAGAGGUGAAGGCUUCCCAAGAUUGGCAACCCUCUUGGACCAGGAGAAGAAAAAAAAUAGAGAAUGCAGAUGAAGAUAGAGACAAUUGACAAAAGUCAAUAGCUGGAACCAUUAAGUGAGCAAUGGCAGAAAAGCGAGGAAUGGAACUAGGAUAUGCUAGAUGGCUUUGACUUCUCAUUCUACACAAGUAACUAGCUCAGAGUCACAGAUAUCAAUCCUAGUACGAUAUGCCAAAUUUCUUGGCAAGCAACUUGAAGAUAGCGAGUCCUUUUGUCAAAUUCUUAGAUGCUUAUGUUCCACAUUUCACAUGUAGGAUCCAGUCAUAUUAGACUAUUUUAUGUCUUGUCAAAAUAAUGUGUAACUUAUUUUUCUUAAAUUGCUUUUCAUACUUCUAAGGUUUUAAAAACAGUUGUAAAUUCAAUGUUUAAUUUGGAUAAGACUUGUUAGGCUUGCUUAGGGAUAAUUUCCUUGAGGACCAGUCAUGACUCAUUUUGGGUCGUGCCAAGAAGAAUAUUUUACUCCUGCAUAUUAUGAUAAUAUAUUUUUCCUGAUCUUAUGUAGCUUAGUAUAUGUAAAACC